rnacentral:tRNA from 1 species
GGCUGUAUGGCUCAAGUGGUAGAGUGCCUGCUUCGCAAGCACAGGGUCCUGAGUUCAAUCUCUGGUACCUCCA